rnacentral:rRNA from 1 species
AUUGAACUGAAGAGUUUGAUCCUGGCUCAGAUUGAACGCUGGCGGCAUGCUUUACACAUGCAAGUCGAACGGCAGCGCGGGGGCAACCCUGGCGGCGAGUGGCGAACGGGUGAGUAAUGUAUCGGAACGUAUCCAGUAAUGGGGGAUAACCAGUCGAAAGAUUGGGUAAUACCGCAUACGCUCGAGAGAGGAAAGCAGGGGAUCGUAAGACCUUGCGUUAUUGGAGCGGCCGAUAUCUGAUUAGCUAGUUGGUGGGGUAAAGGCCUACCAAGGCGACGAUCAGUAGCAGGUCUGAGAGGAUGAUCUGCCACACUGGGACUGAGACACGGCCCAGACUCCUACGGGAGGCAGCAGUGGGGAAUUUUGGACAAUGGGGGAAACCCUGAUCCAGCCAUGCCGCGUGCGGGAAGAAGGCCUUCGGGUUGUAAACCGCUUUAGUCUAGGAAAAAGGGAUGCUGGGUUAAUACCCCAGUGUUUUGAUGGUACUGGAAGAAUAAGCACCGGCUAACUACGUGCCAGCAGCCGCGGUAAUACGUAGGGUGCGAGCGUUAAUCGGAAUUACUGGGCGUAAAGCGUGCGCAGGCGGUC